ACAGGCUUCUGCGAUGACUGUGGAAACCACUGCUUAUGCCUUGCUUCAAGCAUUGUCAAGGAAUGAUAUUGACUAUGCAACACCGAUUGCGAGGUGGCCAACGAUGCAACAGAACUAUGGUGGUGGAUUUCACUCGACGCAGAUAACAUCAGGUGAAGACGUGCGUGAUUUCAGCAAGGUGCUGAAAAAUAAGUUCAGAUCAAAGAAACACUUUGCCAAACAUCCUCGCUUGAGUUAUUUACUAGUACAAACAGUUCUAGAAGGCGAGAACCUUGAGAGGACACAAUCAUCGCCUUGUAAGCUUCAUCACGAUACUACUUUGCAUUUCUGAAGAGGGAAGAAGAAAUCAACAUGCAAAUUCAAUUCCAUGGUUUUGGAAGUCCCAUUGAGAACACGAUUCAUUUGCGCCGGCAUAAUGCUCUGACCGAGAAAGAAUUGAAGAGAAGGAGCGGGAGCACCAGAGGAAGUGACGAGGACCAGAGGGGCAGCCGGGAAGGAAAGCAGUGACCAUAUAUAUCAGCAAGGCAGCUAAACCCGAGACUCUACAACUGUAGUGUCUCCCACCCGCCCUCCUCCUCUAACCUAGUUUAUAAGGAAGAGGAGAAUAUCAUCGAGACGACUGAGAUACGUGCUAUUAGACUUGAAAGGAUUCAGUACCACGCUGAGGAUUGUUAUCCCGAUAGUUCUUUCGUCUCAGUCCGUGUGUAUUCCUGGGCGAAUGUGCUCGUGUGGUCUCAGGAGUUGGGGAGGUCACGGCUCUGGGACAGCCGUUUCAUCGCCCAAUGCUGCAGUUAAGAAGAAAAGAAAAUCUCUUGCUCUGAGCUCUGCAAACCUGGGCAAUGUCAAAAGGGAAACAAGGAAAAAAGCAAUGAAAGUGCCGUUCAUGUUUUGCACGGCGAGCUGCUGAAUACUAACCGGUCUCACACCAUUACCGUCACCUUGCCCUUGUGACGGCAGAUAUGGAUAAGGUUCUCAAAGCUGAUAGAAGAUUGAAACCACUCUCGUCCUGUGACGAUGGGUCAGGACUAUCUUCAAAAUCUGAGAUUGGGUUUUGAAAGACAGCAGUCUUUGUUUUGGAGAGAUAAUGGGAACUGCAGAUGCUGGAGAAUGCGAGAUAACAACGUGUGGAGCUGGAUGAAGACAGCAGCAUCUGAGGAGCACAAAAGCUGACGUUUCGGGCCGAGAACCUUCUUCAGAAAAUGGGGAGGGGGUGCGGGUUCUGAAAUAAAUAGGGAGAGAGGGGGAGGCGGAUGGAAGAUGGAUGGAGGAGAAGAUAGGUGGAGAGGAGAGUAUGGGUAGGGAGGCAGGGAGGGGAUAGGUCAGUCUGGGGAGGCCGGACAGGUCAAGGGAGCGGGAUGAGGGGAAAUAGGGGUGCGGUAUGAGGUGGGAGGGGUGAUGGGUGAGAGGAAGAAUAGGUUAGGGAGGCGGGGACGAGCUGGGCUGGUUUUGGGAUGCAGUGGCAGGAAAGGAGAUUUGGAAGCUUGUGAAAUCCACACUGAUAGCAUUGGGCUGCAGGGUUCCCAAGCAGAAUAUGAUUUGCUGUUCCUGCAACCUUGGGGUGGCGUCAUUAUGGCACUGCAGGAGGCCCAGGUUGGACAUGUCCUCUCGGGAAUGGGAGGGGGAGUUGAAAUGGUUAGUGACUGGGAGGUGCAGUUGUUUCUUGCAAACUGAGCGUAGGUGUUCUGAAAAGCGGUCCCCAAGCCUCUGCAUCGUUUCCCCAAUGUAGAGGAAGCCACAACGGGGACAGCGGAUGUUUUGGAUAUUUCUGAAGCAUUGAUUUUCAUUCAGAGUUGGUUGGAUUUUGCUGAAGCAAUAGACGUAACUCACUAUGACGUAGACAAUGUCAGAGUUAAUGUUUCGCGUCCUGUGACCCUUCCUCAGAUCUCACUCUUCACUGAUGCUGCCAGACCUGCUGAGCUUUUCCAGCAACUUCUGCUUUUGUUGCUGAUUUACAGUGCCCACAGUUCUUUUGUUUUUUACGACACAGACAAAACUUGAUCUCUGCAGGAAGCAUGAUGCUGCAUUCUCCAACUUUCCUGCCUUUUUGUAAUAUAAUAUUGUCUUUUUAGGACAGAAGUGGCUUUUUUUGUUUGUUUUAACUUCCGCACAUACUUUCUAUGCAGGUUAAAAGUCUACACCUUUUCAGUUCUCUGCUGCAUAAUGAAGACUUGGAACAAUUUUUUUUUAUAAAGUAGAAAAUCAGUGUGGUUCGUUUUCCAAAAUGUGAUUUGUAAGUGCAACACUUAACAGUGUGUUCAUCAAACUAUUGUUUCCUUUGAUCUUUGUGUUGCAGAAAUUUCUAGAAUCAUUUCAUAUAUAUUUUUCUUGAUAUAUUUUAGCAGCUUUCCUGGAGCAAAUCUGUUUUCCUUCGGAUGAGACGACUUUCAGACAUACUCCCUUUAUUAUGAGAUUUAAUUGCGGUAAAAUGAGGAGGAUUUUUAUUCACUCAGACACACAUGACUAUAUGUUGAAAGCAUUGGAAAAAGCGUUCUGUUCGGACUGUCAUGUUAUCUGGUGUUUGUACCAGGCUUUCCGAUUAAAUGCAAGUGAUUAAGGAUGCUACUGAUGCCACAUGUUAUUACAAGAAGAAAUGAACAUACAAGUAAGGAUUUUAUGCCACAUUUAUACAUAGCAUGGGCCAUGCAGCAUGGAUGCAGUGACUGAGUGAAAUGGGAUGCAGUGACUGAGUGAAAUGGGAUGCAGUGACUGAGUGAAAUGGGAUGCAGUGACUGAGUGAAAUGCUCACAGCGAAUUGCCCCCUCCAUCAUGACCCGCUCACAGCGACUUGCCCCUGCAGUCCUGACCUGCUCACAGCGACUUCUCUCUGCAGACCUGACCCGCUCACAGCGACUCGCCCCUUCAGUCCUGUCCCAAUCACAAGGACUUGCCCUCUCCGUCCUAACCCGCUCACAGUGACUUGCCCCUGCAGUCCUGACCCCCUCACAGUGACCUGCCCCCUCACUCCUGACCCGGUCUACAUUGAGGAAACCAAGCAGAGGCUUGGGGACCGCUUUGCAGAACACCUCCACUCGGUUCGCAACAAACAACUGCACUUCCCAGUCGCGAACCAUUUUAACUCCCACUCCCAUUCCUGAGACGACAUGUCCAUCAUGGGCCUCCUGCAGUGCCACAAUAAUGCCACCCGAAGGUUGCAAGAACAGCAACUCAUAAUCCGCUUGGGGACCCUGCAACCCAAUGGUAUCCAUGUGGACUUCACCAGCUUCAAAAUCUCCCCUUCCCCAACUGCAUCCCAAAACCAGCCCAGUUCUUCCCCUCCCCCUACUGCAUCACAAAACCAGCCCAGCUGUUCCCUUCCCCCGACUGCAUCCCAAAACCAGCCCAGCCUGUCUCCGCCUCCCUAACAUGUUGUUCCUCUCACCCAUCCCUUCCUCCCACCUCAAGCCACGCCUCAUCCUGCCUCCUUGACCUGCCUGUCUUCCCUGGACUGACCUAUGCCCUCCCUACCUCCUCACCUGUACUCUCCUCUCUACCUAUCGUGUUUUCUCUCCAUCUUCGGUCCGCAUCCCCCCCCUCCCUAUUUAUUCCAGUUCCCUCUCCCAUCCCCCUCUCUGAUGAAGGGUCUAGGCCCAAAAUGUCAGCUUUUGUGCUCCUGAGAUGCUGCUUGGCCUGCUGUGUUCAUCCAGCUCCACACUUUGUUAUGUUGGAUUCUCCAGCAUCUGCAGUUCCCAUUAUCAGUGGCAUUUUCCUCUUCAUCAAAGUUUGUGCAAAAGCAACACGAUAUGGGGCGGCACGGUGGCUCAGCGGUUAGCACUGCAGCCUCACAGCACUGGGGACCCAGGUUCAAUUCCAGCCUCAGGCAACUGUCUGUGUGGAAUUUGCACCUUGUCCCUGUGUCUGCAUGGGUUUCCACCAGGUGCUCCGGUCUCCUCCCACAGUCCAAAGAUGUGCACGCUAGGUGGAUUGGCCAUGCUAAAUUGCCCGUAGUGUUCAGGGGCGUGGGUCUGGGUGGGAUGCUCCAAGGUUUGGUGUACACUUGUUGGGCCAAAGGGCCUGUAUCCACACUGCAGGGAAUCUAAACAAACCUGUUCCCACAUCUCCAUGUUAUAACCCUGCUGAUCACUGCACACAGAGAUGUUUGAUAACAAAAGGAUAACAAUAAUAUUCAAACCUAGUGCUGGAGAUGUAUUUUAAAUACACGGAGGCCAGUGUCGAUCUCCAAUUCAACUUUUAUUUACAAAUGAACUGUCUUCAACUUUAGCACUGCCUCAUUCAGAGAUAGUUGCCAGGGUGUCAGCAUCUCUGAUGCUCACACUUCUUAUCUGUCAGCCAGGGCUCCCUGAUUUGGGCUGUUAAUAUGGAACAAUCGGGCAACUCAUAUUCUGUGAGGUUCAACUGGCCGACCUGGUCACAAACCAGCGCGGUGUGUUCAUCGAAAAUCAAACGUACUAGAAAGAUACCAUUCCAGACCAGUGUAAAGGAAGGCAUGAGGCUAAACUGGGGAGGGAAGGGAACUGCUUAUUGGGGGUGGCCCAGAGAGUAAAAGAAAAUCGAAUGGGAAGAAGACCAUUUGAGACUGAGGGAGAGAGAUGUAAUUGCCUGAAUGAGGCAUUCCAAUUGCGAAAUGGAUUUUUGUGUAUACACCAUGUUCAGUUUCCCCGAUCUUCAUCUGUACUCCUCUUUAAAUCAUUAGUAUCUGAAAUUUCUGUAUCAUUUCCAAAUGUUCUGUCUCUAAUGUUAUGCUGUUGGAAUUGGUUGAACUGCAGAGAUAUUAUUUAUUUGCACAAAUGUGUUCAGUGAAAUGAGUUGCAUGCUAUAUAUGUAUUAUUCUUCCUGAUUCUAUUGUAUGCAUACAAAUUAAAGUUAGU